UUUACAAAAUGUAGCAAAGUUUAUAAUCGAAAUAAUUAACAAGCUUACCAGUGUGCUGUAAUUGAUGAGUGCUUGUCCUAAAAGUGCUCCCUGAUACAUGAAUAAUGGUGUUGGUUAUAUAAGAAUAUAUAGACAAUAGGUGGGAUCUCCAUCAACUAUCUUUUAGUAUUCAAUUCAACGAGUCCAACCUGACACCCACCUUAAAAUUACAGUGUUAGACGAGUUGACAAGAUGGUUUAAGAGAUGGUUGAAUAAAAGAUGUCGACUAUAUAUAAACUCCUUUAGAAUGCAGAUAAGCUUCUCCUCCAAGCCAGUAGACCUUGCCUGAGAAACAAGUUACCUGGUAUUUCAAAAUGGGACAGAAAUAAGGUAAACAACCGCGGAGUUGAACUCGGGACGGAUAUUUAUUUAAACAUAUAAAUUUACAAGUAUCAUCAUUAACUUAAAAAGUUAUACAACCUCUGUACUAGACUUUUUAUCAUUAUAUAACUUAAUUCAUAUACAGAACACAAAUGAAAGUAGUUUAACAAGAAAACCUGGUAAAUGUAAAGAUAAUGUUCAACCCCCUUGACAACUGCCUGUAUAGAAUCCUCUUGUUUCUACUAGAGAUUUUAGCAGCACAAUAGAUUAAUUCUAUUCUCAAUAUUGACCAGAAAAUUACCCUGCUUUGAUUUUCUCUCCUGAUUCAUUGCAAACAAAUAGUGAAAGCAUUAAGAGUACCAAAUAUCUUUACGAGAACAGAAACUAUAGAGUGUUACAUCUGUGCCAUCAAUCAUUCUCAUUGUAGUAUUUGAAUGAACAGGUUGAGUUUAAAAUGAUACAUGUGUACCAUAGCUUACUAAAUAAAUAUUCCCUUUCAAACUUUUA